UGAAUACGAGACGCUACGGCGUCGAAGCAGUCUAUGUCAUACUUCCAAGAAAAGCUUGCACUGUCAUAAACAAAUAAUGCCUGUACCAUAACCGACACAGGUGGGUAGGUAGAGUAUACUAAGGGGCGCGAGAUAACUCUCUCUAAGGAACUCGGCAAAAUGACUCCGUAACUUCGGGAGAAGGAGUGCCUUAUUUAUAAGGUUGCAAUAACAAGAUCCAAGCAACUGUUUAUCAAAAACACAGGUCUCCGCUAAGUCGUAAGACGAUGUAUGGGGGCUGACGCCUGCCCAGUGCCAGAAGGUUAAAGAAGUUGGUUAGCAUUAGCGAAGCUGAUAACUGAAGCCCUGGUGAACGGCGGCCGUAACAAUAACGGUCCUAAGGUAGCGAAAUUCCUUGUCGGGUAAGUUCCGACCCGCACGAAAGGCGUAAUGAUUUGGAUACUGUCUCGGAGAGGGGCUCGGUGAAAUAGACUUGUCUGUGAAGAUGCGGACUACCUGCACCUGGACAGAAAGACCCUAUGAAGCUUUACUGUAACCUGAAAUUGAAAUUGGACUUUAUUUGCGCAGUAUAGGUGGGAGGCGUUGAGAAUAUUCUUGCGGGAAUAUUGGAGCCAUCAGUGAGAUACCACUCUUGUAAUGUUAGAUUUCUAACUUUGAAUCAUUAUCUGGUCAAAGAACAGUUUCAGGCGGGCAGUUUGACUGGGGCGGUCGCCUCCUAAAUGGUAACGGAGGCGCACAAAGGUUUCCUCUGAACGGGUAGAAAUCGUAUCUAGAGUGUAAAGGCAUAAGGAAGCUUGACUGUGAGACCUACAAGUCGAGCAGGGACGAAAGUCGGUCUUAGUGAUCUGACGGUGCUGAGUGGAAAGGCCGUCACUCAACGGAUAAAAGUUACUCUAAGGAUAACAGGCUGAUCUCCCCCAAGAGUUCACAUCGACGGGGAGGUUUGGCACCUCGAUGUCGGCUCAUCGCAUCCUGGGGCGGUAGUACGUCCCAAGGGUUGGGCUGUUCGCCCAUGAAAGCGGUACGCGAGCUGGGUUCAGAACGUCGUGAGACAGUUCGGUCCAUAUCCGGUGUAGGCGUUAGAAUAUUGAGAGGAGCCUUCUUUAGUACGAGAGGACCGAGAAGGACAUACCUCUGGUGUACCAGUUAUCGUGCCAACGGUAAACGCUGGGUAGCUAUGUAUGGAGAGGAUAACCGCUGAAAGCAUCUAAGUGGGAAGCCCACCUCAAGAUAAGUAUUCUC
rnacentral:rRNA from 1 species